GCGAAAAUAGUUUAAAGGUAAAAUUUAACUUUGCCAAAGUUAGUAUAUGGGUUCGAAUCCCAUUUUUCGCU
rnacentral:tRNA from 1 species